ACAGUGUGUACCCUCCUUUUGUAGACCAAGCCACCCUAGGAGAACAAGUGAAACGAGUCAAAGAAAUUGAAGCGAUUGAAAGUGACUGCUUUGUUCAGCAGACAUUCAGAUCAAGUAAAGAAGUGAGAAAGCCCACUGACCCUGGCGAAGGAAAGCAGGAGCCCACGACGUCAGGAGCGGUGACUGCAGAGCCCCGCCACGCUGAAAGGAAGGAGACCCCGGCAGCAUUCCUACCACCAUCAAGUACCAAGACGCCGAUUCUCUAGCGCAUCCUAACCUAUUUAUUGAGAAGGCUGAAGCAGAGGAGAAGUGGUUCAAGAGAUUAAUUGCUCUCCGGCAAGAACGCCUGAUGGGCAGUCCUGUCGCCUGACUAACUCGGGAUUAAAUUAACAAUAAAAUUGGAAUUGAUUUCUUAAAAUGUAAAGUCUAGGAGGACACCAAGGUGAAAGUGACUGUGCGGGAUGUGUGUAUGUGUGUUUCUGUUAUCUGAUGAGCUCAAUAAAGUGGCCGUUUUAACCCA